rnacentral:rRNA from 1 species
AUUGAACGCUGGCGGCAGGCUUAACACAUGCAAGUCGAGCGGAGAUGAGGUGCUUGCACCUUAUCUUAGCGGCGGACGGGUGAGUAAUGCUUAGGAAUCUGCCUAUUAGUGGGGGACAACAUUCCGAAAGGAAUGCUAAUACCGCAUACGUCCUACGGGAGAAAGCAGGGGAUCUUCGGACCUUGCGCUAAUAGAUGAGCCUAAGUCGGAUUAGCUAGUUGGUGGGGUAAAGGCCUACCAAGGCGACGAUCUGUAGCGGGUCUGAGAGGAUGAGCAGCCACACUGGGACUGAGACACGGCCCAGACUCCUACGGGAGGCAGCAGUGGGGAAUAUUGGACAAUGGGGGGAACCCUGAUCCAGCCAUGCCGCGUGUGUGAAGAAGGCCUUAUGGUUGUAAAGCACUUUAAGCGAGGAGGAGGCUACUGAGACUAAUACUCUUGGAUAGUGGACGUUACUCGCAGAAUAAGCACCGGCUAACUCUGUGCCAGCCGCCGCCGUAAAAC